GGACGACGCCCCCACCCACAUCAGACCAUGCAAACAUCUCCUAUCUCACAGUGAUGACAUCUACGGUGAACCCAAACUAUGGAGGAAGAUGAACUCCGCCAUAAAGAGGCUGCAGCACAGGUUCUUGUGGAUGGUGGUUCUGGUGCUCUGGAUCUCGCUGAAGAACCAGAAGGUGAAGAUGCACAGGAACAAACAGAUGAGAGAGAUGAUCAUCCCCAGCUGGGUGAUGCGGGUCAGGAUGGUAUGGUGGGCCACCAACUGAGAAGCAAAUGGAAAGAGAGGUGUUUCAUUCGCAGUCUGGAGCGUAGCGCGAGUAGUCGGUGACACCUGGGUCGCUGCUCGGCUUCAGGAUGUCACUGAUGCUGUCAUAUCGCACAAACACCACCGACACACUUCCUGAUGGACAAAACAAGUGAAACAAAGAGGAAGUCGAACCCACUGCAUCGGUCAUUGAACUUUUAGCAGCCAGUGUUGAAGCGGAUCGACUCAAGGCCUCUACAUACGCAAUUACUUCCACUGAGGUGGAAGCUAUUGAACUUUCUUUGUAGUAGGCUGUGAGGACCGGAAAGACCUUCUCUGCUGGCUUAAACUCAAAAAAUAAACACGCUGGAUCGUACCAACUCCUCAGAGGUGUAAUCAAUCUACUGAUGACUUUCAGCUCAGGAAAGUAGGGAUCCUCCAAAGUGGGAUGUAUGUGUGAGGGAGAAGUGGGAAAUAGCCAGCCAGGUGUGCACGUUGCUCUCCAAAAGUUAAGAGAAUGGUGGGCCCUUAGGAGUGUCGCUUCCAGCCACACAGCAAACUACCCCAUUCCCGACAAACAACAAGUGAACCAGAGAUCUCCCCCCCGUCCCAAAGCACAAGACACUUACAGCUCCAACACUGCAUGGGGAGAGCACUCCACUGCAGGAGUCAUCUCAAACUGGUCUGACUGACAAACAGAGCUGGUUCACUCUGCUGCUCCACUCAUCCUCCCGUAGCCGGCUACAUCAGAUGGGGAUGAUUGCAGUCUUGAAAUCAAUGAAACCACAAACCUCCCUGAUAAUAUUCCCCACUGGGGUGAAAAGGCAAAUGCAGUCGGGGCAGUAUUUAACCCCCCCUCAAGCCUCACACUGGAGCGGGCUUCAUUUUAGGGUCAAAAUGAGCGUUUUUAUCUAAAUUACUGGAGAUUUUCUUUUCAUUUAGAUUUUAUUGGUCAAAUUUGCUCUAAUUAUGUUGCUUUACUUUGGAUAUAAAUUAAUUGUAGUGCUGCAAUUUUUUUUUUUUUUUGCUAAAUGUCAAUAAGUAUAAACCGUGUGGUUUUGUCAGAUCCCCCCUGGAGAAACGUGCGCUCCUUUCUAACCAAUCUGACAAUAUUAAAGUCUCUGACGAGCCACUGCUGUCUCCUGUUAUUGUUCCCCGAACAAUAAAGAAACAAUAUCAGAUUAAUAUAUGGUCUGUUCUUGGUGGGGAUUUGCCCUCGUGGGGGCUGGCAACAUCUGAAGCCACCGAGCAGUAAGAAGGAUUUGGUCGACAGAGCAGAGCGUAGUCAAAGACGCUGAAGCAUUCGAGGUCACUGGUGGAUAGUAAAGUUAUCUAAAGAGCCAGUGUGCACCAAAUUCCCCUGCCAACCCGGAGCGAGUGUCAGAGAUUAGUGGUGCAUCCAUCCUCU